rnacentral:rRNA from 1 species
UGCGUAGGCGGUGCGUUAAGUCAGUGGUGAAAUCUCUCGGCUCAACCGAGAAACUGCCAUUGAUACUGGCGCACUUGAGUACGGACGAGGUAGGCGGAAUUUAUGGUGUAGCGGUGAAAUGCAUAGAUACCAUAAAGAACACCGAUAGCGAAGGCAGCAUACUAGACCGUAACUGACGCUCAGGCACGAAAGCGGUGGGGAGCGAACA